GAGAAUGUUGGCAUGAGUAGCGAGAUGUGGGUGAGAAUCCCACAGGCCGUAAACCCAAGGUUUCCAGGGGAAGGUUCGCCCGCCCUGGGUUAGUCGGGACCUAAGCUGAGGCCGAAAGGCGUAGGUGAUGGACAACAGGUUGCUAUUCCCGUACUACCGAUAACCGGUUGAGAGAAGCGAUGACACAGUAGGAUAAGCUAAGCAUACUGUAGGGUAAGGUGUCCCAGGCAU
rnacentral:rRNA from 1 species